AAGGAUUGAGAAGUUUUGCAGUGGUCAACUGGUAUAGACAUCCCAUUACCACUACUUCCUUCAUUGGACGGCAAGGUAUUUCUGUUUGGAAAAGUAAUGGAGUCCAGUCAACUUCAUUGAUCUCCAAGGACUGUCAAAAUUAUAAAACUUGCUGUGGAGCUCUGACAUGCCAGAAGCCGCUAGAAAAAGAAGUUUGACAUUCAGAAACUUAUCAAGAGGUUCUACUCUUUGGAUAGAGACCAAAAUCAUACUUUGAAAAAGCCUGACAGGUUUCUUCGGAAAAGUGGCCAUCCAUGGAAUGAAUGAAAUGUUCUCUUUCUAUUCCACCUCUAGAGACCAUCAAAAAACAAUGGCUUAUAAUGCUUUUAGAACAGAAACUGAAGUUGUGUACUGUGCAUGUGUAAUCCUACACAAGAGGAAGGCAAUGUUUAAAGCUGCUGUCACCUCUUAGGGAAAAAACUGGAAUUCUGAGUCAAGGGAUUGCAGUGGCAAAGCUAGGCUAGGUCUUGGAGGCUGGUGUAAGGCGAUGCGGGUGAAGGCAGGAGGCUGAUGGAGAGACUGGGGGGAAGAAAAGCCGAAAUGGAUUCACGGUGCCUUGGAUGAAGGACGAGAGGGGAACUGCAAGCUCCUUCAACUGGUUCUGUCCGGUGAGAAGUGAUCAAGCUUGGGCUGACA
rnacentral:sRNA from 1 species